rnacentral:misc_RNA from 1 species
GAUGAAGAACGUAGCGAAAUGCGAUAAGUAAUGUGAAUUGCAGAAUCCAGUGAAUCAUCGAAUCUUUGAACGCACAUUGCGCCCGCCAGCAUUCUGGCGGGCAUGCCUGUUCGAGCGUCAUUUCAACCCUCGACCUCCCUUUGGGGAAGUCGGCGUUGGGGACCGGCAGCACACCGCCGGCCCUGAAAUGGAGUGGCGGCCCGUCCGCGGCGACCUCUGCGUAGUAAACCAACUCGCACCGGAACCCCGACGUGGCCACGCCGUAAAACACCCAACUUCUGAACGUUGACCUCGAAUCAGGUAGGACUACCCGCUGAACUUAAGCAUAUCAAAAAGCGGAGGA